UACGGAGGGUGCGAGCGUUGUCCGGAAUCAUUGGGCGUAAAGGGCGCGUAGGUGGCCCGGUCAGUUCGUGGUGAAAGCGCGGGGCUCAACCCUGCGUCGGCCAUGAAUACUGCCGCGGCUGGAGCACUGUAGAGGCAGGCGGAAUUACGGGUGUAGCGGUGGAAUGCGUAGAGAUCCGGAAGAACACCGGUGGCGAAGGCGGCCUGCUGGGCAGUUGCUGACACUGAGGCGCGACAGCGUGGGGAGCAAACAGG
rnacentral:rRNA from 1 species